rnacentral:rRNA from 1 species
AGCGAACGCUGGCGGCAGGCUUAACACAUGCAAGUCGAACGGUCCUUCGGGACAGUGGCGGACGGGUGAGUAACACGUGGGAACGUGCCCUUAGCUUCGGAACAACCCAGGGAAACUUGGGCUAAUACCGGAUGUGCCCUUCGGGGGAAAGAUUUAUCGGCUUUGGAGCGGCCCGCGUCUGAUUAGCUAGUUGGUGGGGUAAUGGCCUACCAAGGCGACGAUCAGUAGCUGGUCUGAGAGGAUGACCAGCCACACUGGGACUGAGACACGGCCCAGACUCCUACGGGAGGCAGCAGUGGGGAAUCUUGCGCAAUGGGCGAAAGCCUGACGCAGCCAUGCCGCGUGGACGAUGAAGGUCUUAGGAUUGUAAAAUCCUUUCAGCGGGGACGAUAAUGACGGUACCCGCAGAAGAAGCCCCGGCUAACUUCGUGCCAGCAGCCGCGGUAA